GUAGGUGAACCUGCGGAAGGAUCAUUACACAUCUUGCUCGGGGGGCAGCGACGGAUAGCCGGGUCUGCUUAUGACCCGCUGUUUUGAACUGCCCCUGUCUGAACAUUACCCAUGCCUUUUGCGUACCUAUUGUUUCCUCGGCAGGCUUGCUUGUCAGUAGGACCCCUUUCAACCUCUUGUAAUUGCAAUCAGCGUCAGAAAAAAAUUAAUUAUUACAACUUUCAACAACGGAUCUCUUGGUUCUG
rnacentral:misc_RNA from 1 species